CGGGUGACCGUGAACCAAGAAGGAAUAGUUGAAAGCGAUGAGAUUAAGAGGUGCUUGGAAUUGGUCAUGGGAGAUGGAGAGGAGGCGAAAGAAAUGAGAAGGAAUGCAAAGAAAUGGAAGGGUUUGGCAAGGGAGGCUGUGAUGGAAGGUGGAUCAUCUGACAAGAAUCUUAAGAAUUUUAUGGAUGAGGUCAUACAAGGUUACUAGCUAGAUAUUGUGGUUGUAUCUCUUGGAGUUUAUGUUAAGACUCCCCGAUUAAUUUAAAUAUUUUACAAGAAGAUUUUUAUUAUUUAUGAUGUUAAUACAAGUAGUAGUAUUAAUUAAUGGUAGAGGGCAUAUCUAAAAUUAUGGGAGAUUCAUUGCUUCCUGAAGGCCCUAUCACAAAGGAUCUGUCAAAUGCGUGGCUAAGGUGCUGUUUGGUAAAUGUCCGUUACCAGCCAAAAUUUUGCAAUUAUUGCUAAUGGGAAUCAGGGAAACCCCAAACUGGCCUUGAUGGUCCUUGCGUGAAGACCCAUCCAAUUCUUUACAUUGUGGCCACUGAUUUGGUGUCUUAUCCUCUCAUGCCCAUCACUUCAUGUUUACAAAUUGAUAUUGUAUUCAUAGCUAUUUUUUAUGAAGGUUCAAUUGGCAAGAAGUAUUUUUGCCUUGGGAAGAUGUUGGUUAUGGAUUUAAAGCAAAAUAAAAGAUUAAAAAAAUGAUCCUUGUACAAAUUUUUGGGUGCCUCUAUUAAUUAAGUGAAUAUUAUUAUUUAAUUGAUAAAUUAAUAAUUUAUUAAUUUAAUUACUUAUUAAUUAGAUCUCUGGAAUAAUUCUAUUAUGGAACCUAUCUUGCACUAAGAAGCAUCCAUAGCGAUAAUAAUAUUAAAUAAAUUUUUGUUAUAGUACAAGAAUGUUACAUCAGACCUUUUUUUUUUUUUUUUUCAUAUUAGGAAUAGUUAAAGAUGAGAUUUAAGUAAACAUAAGUUUUAAGAAAAAAUAACACAUAUAUUUUACGAAGGAUUCUUGAUAAAACAUAUGAAUUUAAUUAUAUAUUAGAAAAUUAUUAAUUUUUAUAAUAUGUGGAUUUUAUAUGAAACUACAUAGAUUUUUUUUAUAAUGUAUUAUUUUAUAAAUUUAUCAAAUUAUUAGUUUAGCACGAUGACCCCAAAUUUAGAUUAAUUAAAAAAAUAUUUAAUUGAAGUUCUUAAUUAAUUAAAUAUUAAUUUAUUAUAAAGUUUUAUUGUAUUUUAUUUUCAUGUUCUGAAAACUAGUCGAUUUGAUUGGUUUGAGCAUUGAUUGACUAUGUAUUUUACAUAUGAGAUCGAUUAUGAGUUGCACUUUCAUCCCAAGGUAUUUAAAAAUUAGGAAAAUCAAUCCCAAGGUAUCUAUUUUACUUUUCUUAGUCUAUUCACCAUUGUCCAAACACUCCAUAAGUGGAAUGUAACUUGGAGGGGCUUGAAUAUGCAGAAUUUUAUAAUUUUGCACAUUAAUGUCUCAGAGUGUUAAAAUCUUUUACAACUAAUUGUAGAUAAGUUUAGUAUUGACAAAUAAUUUUAUUACAAUUAAAUUAUUUUUUAAUUUAUAAAAAGGUUAAAAUAAAGAUAUUUAAGAAAUAUAGUACCUUAACAAUUAAAAAUAACAUUGGUUGAUGAUAUCUAAGAAAUUCAAUGUUUUCUUCAACCUAAAAUGAAUAUAAAAAUUUGGUAUGAGGAUUGUUUGCUCGACUAUUGAAACUUAUUGACAACAUAGGAAGAGACAAAACUUUUGGGGAUAUAUUAAUAGAGUGAGGAAUUUGGUACUUGAUUCAUAGAGUAAAAGUUGAACAAAAGCAUCAAGAAACAUCGGGGUUGGAAAUGAUAGUGCACUUUUUAAAAGUCAUAGGUGGAAAGAGGGAAAAUUAGAACAGAUGAACCUUAAUUUUUUGGUAUUUUUGAUAGGUGUUUAGUAAAAUAAUUUAAUAUUACAAUUUAUAGUUAAAAAUGACUUAGUAUAUAAGCAGUUAAAAUGAUUUAGGGCUUGUUUGACCGUGUUUUUUAAAAUUUUCUUUUAAAAUAGAGAAUAAAAAUAGUGAACAUCAAGUUGUUGGAUGGACCAAUUUCUACUCAAUGCCAAAGACAGAACCACACGAAUAGUAGUUAGUUUAACCACAAAACUAAAGGUUUCAAGGAAAUCAAAACCGUGAGUUUGAUGAAAUCCUUUCACCGCUAAAUGUGCCUUAUAACAAUCAAUAGUUCCAUUAGGUUUAAACUUCAAUUUAUAAACCCAGUAACAUCUAAUGGUAUUCUGAUUAGACCAAGGAAGAAUGAUGACCUAUGUUUUAUUUUUCAUAAGAGCUUCAAAUUCAAGAUGCAUAGCCUAUUGCCAUUUAGGAACUUUAGCAAUUUCCUUAAAGGAAUUCAGUUCACAAAGUGGGGGAAAAAUAGUCUUAGUAGGAGACAAAAAUAACUUGAGUUCGAAAAUGCCAUUUUUGGCACGCAUUAUCAUGAGAUGACAAGUAUAGUAUGAACAUAAGAGGAAAGAGGUUGGGUUGUUGGAAUAGGUAUAACCUUAGAAAAGGAAAUUGGCACACUAGAAUUAGAUAUUGGAACCAACUUUGAAGGUGGACAUAAUGGGGGAGGUAAGAGGGAAGAUAUUGGAGAUGAUGGUACUACCAAGGGAAUGACACAAUGAGAGAGGGAAACAUAAUAAGGAGUCUGAACUAUGGAAGACUUAGCAAAUGGGAAAUCUAGUUCAUAAAAAAUAACAUGUUGUGAUAUAUGUAUUUUAUGAUUGGACAUGUUUAAAUAAAGAUAUUCUUUAUGCUUAGAACUAUAGUUGAUAUUUUAACGGAUUGAUAUGCAAGUUUAUGACAAUUAAAAGGAUGUAGAAAAGGAUAACAAAUGCAACCAUAGACAUGAAGAUAAUAAUAAUUUGGUAGACAAUGGUAAAGAGUCUUAUACGGAUCAAGAAGAGAUAUUCAACAUAGAGGUAGGAAGUCUAUUAAUCAAAUAUAAGGUAGAUUGGAAAGCAAAAGGUCAAUAUUUAAGUGGAAUAGAAGCAUGAGCAAGCAAAGAAAGACAUAUUUCAACCACAUGUCUAUGUUUUCUCUCCACAUGACCGUUUUGUUGAAAAGUAGAUGGACAAGAUACUCUAUGCAGAAUCCUAAAUUUACAUAAAGUAUCAAUAAAGGCUUGAAACUCCCCUCCCUAAUUAGUUUGAAGCACUCUAACUUUAGUGUAAAAUUGAGUCUCAAUUAUCACUUUAAAUUGCAAAAAAGCAGAGAUAGCUUGAUUUUUAGAAGCUAGUAGAUACAACCCCAAGAAAAUCUUGUAUGGUCAAUAAGAAAAAAGUACAAAGUAUCUUGCUCCAUUAGCACCAACAAUAGCGGUAGGACCCCAUAGAUCAAAAUGUAUAAGAGCAAAAGGCUAAGAGACUCUAGAUUUAGACAAAGUAAAAGGUAAGUGAUGACUCUUUGCCAUUUGACAAGGUUCACAAAUACCUAUCCAAUGUUUUGAGGGCAUACUAUAAGCACUCAAAACUUUAUUGACUAUUUUACGUGCAAGAUGACCUAAUUAAAAUGCCAUAGAACUACCUUAUUGGGAAGUUGUAAUGCAAAUAACAUACACAGGACCUCAAUUGCCAAGCUUGUUCUUCUAACAAUUUUAUUACAAUUGGAAUCUAUAUUUUUUACCAGAAGCUGAAGAUGACAAUUUGUAUAAACCAUGGUUAAGGUUGCCUUGGAGAAGAGCCUUCUUUGAAGCUUGAUCCUUCAUCACAAAUCCAUUAGUAAAGAAUUCCACAGUAACAUUAUUGUCAGUACACAACUUAUUCACACUUAUCAGAUUGGUUGUAAGUUGUGGAACAUGUAAAAUAUUCUUUAGAUUUAAAGACUGAGAAACCGACAAAAUAGUAGAGUAUCCAAUAUUUGAGAUAUUUAAGCAAUUACCGUUUCCAAUGACGACUUUGUCCAAACUAGCAAAUGGAGUAUGUGCAUUCAAGUUGUUGAAAUUUAGAGUUAGGUGAUAUGUAGCUCUAGUAUCCAUGUACCAACUUCCAUCUCCAAUAGUGGCCAGAGUUGCAAUCAUUGCAGCAAGAUGAGGUUACUCAAUUCUUAGGGUUCUUCUUUCUCAUUGGUUUUUGACUCAGAUGAGUUAACUUAGUUCCUAGAGCUCUUCCUCAAUGACAAACAAUUCUGAUUAGAGUGUGGCAAUGAGUUCAAUGAGCAAGCUGGUGAUUGGUCAAGGCCUCACCAGUGAUGAGGAUGUUGGUGAUAGCAACAAUCUAGUUGGAGAAAUGAUUUUUUCCAACACCUUCAAACACCGUAAAAAUGAUCAUAUCAUCAUCAUGAUCUUAGAUAAGAGAAACUUAAAGUUUUUUUUUUUAUUUCAAUUUCAAAUUCAAAACAAAAUUGCAGAGCACUAGAUACAAAAAAAAGAAAAAAGAAAAUAAAAGAACAAAAAAUCACUAUAGAAACCUUAGAAAACACACUAGGAAGAAAAAUCAUAGACAAACUCACAGAAGAAUUUUAUGGCUUUAGGAGUCGGAGCCGGAGCUAGAGAAGAGUCUUAAUGGACAUUGAGGAGGGACAAGAAGAGGUGUUCAACUAUAAUUUAUAUAGGCUAUAUAUAUUGUAAAUGUUGGCUUUAAAAUGUAUCUGGUAGUGACCCAAUGGAAGUGGAGUCUAUAGGAACAUCUAUGGUAGCGAUCCAAAAAUUAUUGCAGUUAUAGGAGAAUAUAUAAUAGCACUUUCAACAGUAAUCGUGACUAUGUAUAUUUCCUGGAAAAUUUCCCACCAAUCCCAAUCUCAAUCCCUUUAGAUGCAUGUGGUUGGAAUAUGCAUGAGGCCAUAUAUUAUGCGGUUGGGAUAUGAAUGAGGCUAUAUAAUAUUUUUAGUUGUGGAUUUUCUUAGCCCCUACUAAAACUAUAUUGCCAUUUCCUAUUCUUCUUGUAAUGUCAAGUUGGAAAGUCAAACUUAAUUUAAAAACUUUUUAAAUAUUAAACUUAGAGUUAGAGUUAGGUGGUGUUUGUUUUUUUUUUUUGUUGAAAACAAUUUGUUUUCAGAAUUUAAGUCGUUUGUUUUUCUAUUUUUUCAUGACUUAUUAUAUACUUUUUACCAAACAGAAAAAACCAAAAUAUGUAGUUUUUUCUAAAUAGAAAAAAUAAUAUGUUCAUUUUUUUUACUUUUUAAUACUUAAUAGAAAUAAAAUACUACAAAAACAAACAACCUAAUAUUUAACAUUAUUAAGUAUUAAGGUUCUAUUUAGAAUUAAAUAAAAAAAAAUAAAUGCCACAUUAGUUUCUAAAUGUUAAGGAGAACAUUUUAUUUUGAAUGAUUAUUUAGUGUUUGUAUUUGAGUAGUUAAGUCGUCAAAGGUCUCUGUAUUUGAUUAUUAAGAGUUUCUAUUUGGAUAAAUGUGAGUAUAUUUAUAAACAAAAAUUCAUAUAUAUAAUAUAUAUAUAUAUAUUUUAAAAAAGCAAUAGAAUACAAUAAAUUUUUAAUUCUCUCCUAUUUUAUCUUUUUUAUAAGUGUGUGUUUCUCUUUCAUCUAGACAACUCACACAAUACUAACACAAUGAGAGUAAAAGGAGAAGGGCAACAAAGAGUUGGAGCCGGAGAUCAUUGGAGGAACGGGUCAACUGUAGGCCGGUUGUCCAUGGGCUCAUAUAAGUAACAAAAAUUGGAAAUGGUUUCUAUAUCUUAGUGUCGUCUAGAAGACGACAAUCUACCUGUCAGUGUGCAGCAGAAGAGAAAGCGUGAUAUCUACUUCGAGUCAAAACAAAAGGGAACCAGCUCGCAAUUCCUCCGAUACAUCAUUACCGACGUCAUAGCUCUAUUCCCCCAAUUCGUCACUACCAACUUCAUUCUAUCUCCAUUACGCAUUAUUUAAAGAGUCCCCAUGCAGAUGCUGUUCGAAACACAAGUCAGCUUUGACACAACCCCACGUCAUUGUGAUAACCCAUCCGGCACAGGUCCCUGUCCAAAGACCCAUCUUACUCUUUACAUUGUGGCCACUGAUUUAGUAUCUAAUCUCAGGCAAAAUUCACUGGUUUGAUGAAGGUUAUAGAACAAAACUUGUGUUAUUCUUAUCUUUGUUUUUGAUGAACUUUAAAGCAUUUAAAAAGAUUCAACUGGUAAGAAGUAUUUUUGCCUUGGGAAGAUGUUGGUUAUGGAUUAAAAGCAAAAAAGACCCUUGUACAUAUUUUUGGGUACCUGUCAAGCAAAUUAAUGCACAUCCGAACAUCACAACUGUUGUCUCUUAAAUUCUUCCAAUUGACCUGCUUUCGUCUUAUUGAGCGUCUGGGUUACUUGAUAAUGCAAAAACUCAUACAGUUAUUUCGAUAAAUUAAGAGCCUCAGGCAUCAAGGAAAAUCUAUUAUUACUUAAUCGAUAAAUUAAUAAUUUAUUAAUUUAAUUGCUUAUUAAUGAGAUCUCUUGAAUAAUUCUAUUAUGGAACAAGACACCAUAACAAUAUUAAAUAAAUUUUUGUCACAGUGUAAGAAUGCCGCAAUAGAUGUAAUAUGAGAAUGUGAUAUUUAAUUAUGGGCCUCCGCUUAAAAUAAGUAAAUAAAUAAUUAAUAAUUAAAAUUUAAAUAAAAUAAAUAAUUAAUUAAUAAUUAAAAUACAAAUACUAGACUCACAUUCUGAGCAGCCGCUUCUAAACUCUUAUACGCUACAAAAAAACAUACACAAAGAAAUCUAGGAUUCUAGAUUUAAGUGAAGAGAAAGAGGAUUUGAUCUUUUUGUUCUUUCUCGAAAAUUUCAUGGUAAGUGAUACUUCUUAAAGAUUUUUUUUUUCAGUUUUUCUUCUUAGAAACUUUAAUUUCCUAAUAAGAUUCAGAAAUAAUUAAUAAAAACAAGAAAUUAAGAAAUACAUUGAAAGUAAUUAAAUCUAAUAUGAUAGAAACCUAAUAAUAAUAAUAAAAAUAAUAGAAAGUUUGAUGUAUUAUUUCUGAUACCUAAAGGAAAAUUCUAUAUGAAAUUGUGGAGUUAAUGUUUUUUUUUUUAAAUAUAUAAUAAUAACAAAAAACAAUAGAAAGUUUGAUGUGUUAUUGCGUAAACCUAGAAGAAAAUUCUAUAUGAAAUAGUGGAGUUAAUGUUUUUAAAAUAUAUAUAUAUAUAUAUACUAGAAAUUCUUAUGUGUAGGAGAUAAGAAUUCUAUUGGAGGCCUCCAAUUUUAUUAUGUUAGGAUUCCAUAAUGAAUUAAAUUAAAUUAAAUUAAUAUAAUUUAGAUUAGAUUAAUUAUAACUGUGGGAAUUGAAAAGCUUAGGAUGACAAUUAAGAAAUGGAAAUAUGAUAUUUUUUCUAGAUAAAUGAAUAAUUUAUAUAUAUGUUAAAAAACUAUAUAUAUUUAGAAUAUAAUUAUUAUUAGAACAUUAGUUUAAAGAACCCUUAUAAUUUCUCAGGUAAUUCAAAGGAAAUUCUACCGCUUUAAUAUUUGGAGUUUAAGUCCAAUUAAGGGGACAAAUUAAAAAAUAUUUAAGUAUAAUUUUCUUUUGAAAGUUUCAAGAAAUUGGGAAAUAAUUUUGUUAUAAGGUAUAUGUUUGCUUAGAUGUGUGAUAUGAAUUUUUUUUUGUUUAAAAGAAAAAAAAAAUAGGACUAGUAAUCUAAUCCCUGUUAAUAAAGGAAAGUGUUUUGACUUUGGGUCAUAUAAAGUAACUAAAUUGGAAAAUGGUCUCUAGAUCUUAACUUUGGGUCGCGACUAGAAGACGACAAACUACCGGUCAGUGUACAGCAGAAGAUAAAGUGAGACAGGAUACUUAUACAUCUCUUGAAAUUAAUUUGUCUUUGGUCAAAACAAAGAGGAAGCAGCUCACAAUUCCUCCAAAACAUCAUUGCAAACGUCAUAGCUCUGUUUCCCCAAAUUCGUCAUUCCAUACUCUGCCUUCCUUAUUUAAAGAGUUCCAUGCAGAUGCAGAUGCAGUUCGAAACACAAGUCAGAUUUGAUCAUCCUCUGCAUAGACCCAACCGAAGUAUCUCCACUUCAUCUUCUUCCCCUACAAUGACACAACCCCAUUUCAUUGUGAUAACCUAUCCGGCACAAGGCCACAUCAACCCUUCUCUCCAACUGGCUAAGCGCCUCAUACGUGCUGGUGCCCAUGUCACAUUCGUCACUAGCACCUAUGCCGGUGAGCGCAUGGCCAAAACCCCAACCAUGGAUGGGUUAAAAUUUGUCACAUUCCCGGAUGGCUGCGACAGUGGCCUCAAGCAAAGCGAUGCCCUCCAAGGCUUCAUGUCUGAGCUUGAGCGUCUUGGCUCCCAAGCUCUUAUCGGCCUCCUCAUAGCCAGCGCUAAUGAAGGUCGUCCCGUUACUUGCAUAAUCUACGGCAUCCUGAUUCCUUGGGUAGCAGAGGUGGCGCGUAGUCUUCACAUCCCCUCCGCACUUUUUUGGAGUCAACCUGUCUCUGUUUUUAAUAUCUAUUAUUAUUAUUUUUGUGGCUAUGGAGAGCUCAUUCGCAAGAAAGUCAGUGACUCCUCGCCUUCCAUUGAAUUACCAGGACUGCCCUUGCUCAGUAGCCGUGACAUUCCCUGUUUCCUACUCCCCUCAAAUGCAAAUGAAUACAACUUCGUCCUUUCAGCGUUUCAGAAGCACCUAGAGAUGCUCCACCGUGAUACCAACCCAACGGUACUGAUAAACACUUUCGAUGCAUUGGAACCAGAGGCCCUAAGGGCCGUCAGUAAGUUUAAGUCGAUUGGAGUUGGACCCUUGUUUCCAACCGCUUUCUUGGGUGGAAAAGAUCCAUCCGAUACUUCAUUUGGAGGUGAUCUGUUCCGUCGUUCAAAGGAUUAUAUUGAAUGGCUGAACUCAAAGCCUGAAUCUUCUGUCAUUUAUGUGUCAUUCGGAAGCCUCGCGGUGUUAUCAAAGCAACAAUCAGAGGAGAUUGCUCGUGGAUUGCUGGACAGUGGCCGGCCUUUGCUGUGGGUCAUAAGAGCCAAGGAGAAGGGAGAAGAGGAGAAAGAAGAAGAUAAACUAAGUUGCUACGCAGAAUUAGAACAACAAGGGAUGAUAGUACCAUGGUGUUCUCAGGUUGAGGUUCUCUCAAAUCCAUCACUGGGUUGUUUCGUGACUCAUUGUGGGUGGAAUUCAACCUUGGAGAGCUUGGCUUCUGGGGUGCCAGUUGUGGCAUUUCCUCAGUGGACCGACCAAUCCACGAAUGCAAAGCUAGCCGAAGACGUGUGGAAAACGGGUGUACGCGUGACCGUGAACCAAGAAGGAAUAGUUGAAGCUGAUAAGAUUAAGAGGUGCCUGGAAUUGGUCAUGGGAGAUGGAGAGGAGGCCAAAGAAAUGAGAAGGAAUGCGAACAAAUGGAAGGAUUUAGCAAGGGAGGCGGUAAUGGAAGGUGGAUCAUCUGACAAGAACCUUAAGAAUUUUAUGGAUGAGUUUAUGCAAGGGUACUAGCUAGUAAUUACUAGUCAGUAGUGCCUGGUCCAUAAAAUAAUCUCUUUGAUUUAUUAUUAAGACUUUCCGUUUAAUUUAAAUAAUUUACAAGAAGGUUUUUAUUAUUUAUUAUGUAACAUUAAUCAUUGGUAGAGGCCAUAUUUAAUUAACAGCUGGCACUGCAAGAAAAUGAACUUCUCAAAGGCCCCGUCACAAAUGAUCUGUCAAAUCCGUGCUUAAGGUGCAUGUUGGUAAAUAUCUGGUACCAGCCAAAUUUUCCAAUUAUUUCUAAUAUGGUCACGAGGACAACCCCAAACUAGCCUUGAAGGUCCUUGUCUAAAGACCCAUCAUUACAUUGUGGCCACUGAUUUAGUAUCUUAUCUUCUCAGGCCCAUAAGUUCAUUGCUAGGUUUGCUGAAGGCUAUAAAACUGAACUUGUGUUAUUCUUCUUGUCUUUGGUUUUGAUGAACUUUGAAACUCUUAAAAAAUCCAAUGGGCAAGAAGUAUUUUUGCCUUGUGAAGAUGUUCGUUAUGGAUUUAAAAGAAAGAAAAAAAACAGAUUACAAAAAAACAAAAAAAGUCUUCUGCCAUUAAGGGCACUAUCAUAAAUAAUAGUAAAAUUAAGGGUAAAUUAUAGAAAUAAUGAGAAUGAUUAUCUGCUCAUACAUCACACAUGUGGCCGUGCAAGACAACAAAGAGGGGUAUCUGUAGCCUUCAUUUAAGAAAAUGAAGGAUAAUCAUCUGCUCUCUCAGCCCAUCUUCAAUAUCUCCUUCAUGUUGAGUCUAAUCACCACGCUUGGUCAAAAUGAUGGAAUUGGAAGGAAAAUUUGAACCAAGUCAUGCUUGAUCAAAUUUUCCAUAUUUUUGGUGUGUUUGGCUGGUGAAGAAAUCAAAGAAAAAUAGAAUUUUCACAAGAAACAAUUCCAAGUUCCUACAUUUUCCUUUAAUUUUUUAUUGGUCAAACACACAUUUUUCAAAAAAAAAAAAUAGUCAAAAUUAUAAAGAAGCAAAAUUACCCUAAAAGUAAUGUACCUCAAUGAAAAUCAUGAAAGAGGAUUUGUGGGACAUAUCCUUAAAUCACCAAGCUACUAUUUGUGGGAUAAUCAUAAGAAAAAUGGACUUGGUGGGAUAAAAAAAAGACUGCAUUUUAAAGUUUCAAUUGUUGUAAAGGUUGUACUACUAUAAUUUACACCUAUAUAUCCUUAUAUAUCUUUUGAUAAAACUAAUGUAAUAGUGAAUGUAACUGUUUUGUAAUAUAAUUUUGGGUCUUGCUAUUAGGUUCUUAUUCAAGUCUCUUCUCUCACUUUACUGCUCUCCUUUUGUUUUGUGGACUAAGGAGUACAAAAAUAAUUUUCUAUUUAGUUUGAUAUAAUAUAUGUAGGGAGAGUGAUGGAAUACAAUUAGAGCUUGUUUGGUCAUAUGAUUUAAAAAUAGUUUUUAUUUUUAAAAAUUUCUCAUACUAUUUGACUGUUAUUCACUAUAAAUAAUUUUUAAAAACAAAAUGAAAUAAAUAACAGUUUUUAAAAAACGAACAAAAGUUAUUUUCACUGAUUUUUAAAAACAAAAAGAAAACACAGACUCAUUUGAUCAUUUUGUUUUUCAAAACUAUUUUUAAGUUAAAGAAUAUAAAACUGUUUUCAAAAUUAAGUUUUAGAAAACAUGGUCAAACCAAUUCUAAAUUUUCAAUUUUCUAGUAUUUUUAUCUUCUUUUGUAAUUGUGCAGGUUUCUCUUUGAACGGUGUUACUCCAACAAUAUGGACACAAUGAGAAUGAAAAGAAGAGGACGAGAAAGAGUUGGAGCCGGUGAUGAUUGAUCAACUGUAAACCGGUUGUCCAUGGGUUGAAUGCCUAGUGAUUGUGUUAGAAUUGGGAAAAAUAAAAACAAGUACUAGAUUUUUUCUUUUUUCUUUUUUUCUUUUUAAAUUAAGUUUGGGGUCAUGAUCAUAUGAGAAAUGGUGUUCUUUUUGCCUUAGAAAGAGUAGCAGGCGCCAAGGGACUGAAUGGGUUUGUGUUAGGGAAAUCAUUUUUAGCUUCAAUCAGUUUCAGCUUCAUUUAGUUUUAGAUACCCACCUUACACAACUCGUUUGUAAUGCAUGUAUCUCCUACGGAAGAUGAAGAUAAUUUUCCAGGAAAUAUAGGAAAAACUUCUAUCACCCUUCCUUCCUCAUUUUUAUUUUUUCCUCUGUUUCACCAUUUCAAACAUGGUAUCAGGAUAGGUUUCAGCUUAGUCAUGGAAACCUCCUCCAAGUCCAUGGAAGACACCUCAACAACCACCAUCUUUCUCCCAGUUUCCUUCCCCCACCCAAUCUCAUCUAAACUAGACAAUCAUAAUUUUCUGGUUUGGGGAAAACAGAUACUACAUUAAAUGGCCAUAAGCUCAAACACUUCCGUUUCGAAUCCUCAAUUUUGCCUUCCAAGUUCCUCUCUUUAGACACUGAAACCCAACAUCAUGUAAAUCCCAUGUUCCAGGAUUGGAAAUAAUAAGCUCAACUCAUCAUGUCUUGGAUUCUUGCAUCCAUAUCUGAUGCUCUUCUCACUUGUAAGGUGAGCUGUGACACUUCAGCCCAAGUGUGGAAGACCUAGGAUUAUGUUUUGCCACCCAAGUAACAGCCAAAGUAACCUAAUUCAAGACUCAACUAUACAACACCAAAAAAGGAGAAUGAUCUAUAACUAAUUAUCUUCUUAAAAUUACAAAUAUAAUUGAUCUUCUUGCCCUAGUUGGCCACAAGCUUUCUGUGAAAGACCACAUAGAUGCAAUCUUUGAAGGUCUUUCUCAAGAUUAUGAAACCUUCAUCAUCUCUGUAAACUCUAGAAUUGAUCCAUAUACAGUAGAGGAAAUUGAAACUCUUCUUUUUGCUUAAGAAAGUUGCAUUGAGAAAAGUAUCAAUAUUCCAAAAUUUUCCACUUCUAUCUUGGCCCACUUCAUCACAACCAAUAACUGUCCACAUUUCAACCCAAAUGGUUCUCCACAUUUCAACCACAGAUCUGGAAACAGGAACUCAAAUAUGCAUCCACCUACAUACCUGCAUACUUUGGAAACAUGUACUUGACAGUUAUGAAAGGAAAAAGGUGAAAAAAUUAUAUAAUUUGAUUGAGAAGACAAUUUUAGAUGGAGUUAUAAAGGUGGAGCCGAGUCAUGAUGGAAGAGUCUUUUGUCAGUAUUAAAGAACUUUUCACAGUAGAAAAGUGCGACAAGAUGAUCAAGACUCCAUUUUGGACUAAGAGUACUCAUUAGCACAAUGAUGAGGGUAAUUGCAAAAGAAGACAAAGACGGUUUAUAGAGUCAAGUUUGAUGAGAUCAGUUUCAACUUUGCACAUAUUUAUUCUUAUUAAUUGUGUAGGAUUGAGAGAAUUUGAGUGAAGGUGGAGAUUAUUGAGAUCUAACUCAAAUAAUUUAUUUUUAUUUUUAGGAAAGUCAAUAUGUAUAGAGUUUGUGUUUUAAUAAAUUACCGUUUUAAGUUAGACUAAGAUUAGGUAACUAUUAUUUUAGGGUUAACACUAUAAAUAUAUGGUUUUAUAUUAGAGAGAAAGAGAGAAGGAAAAAAAGAAGAGAGUCAACAGAUAAAGACAAAUAGGAUAUUAGGUUUUAGGUAGAGGAAAGUUGAGAGAAUUUGAAGUGUGUAAUCUUGAAUGUUAUAACAUAACAAAUUUGAUCUCCCUUUCCUUUAGACAUAGGUAAUUACUAUUCAACGACUUAAAUCUUGUCUUCUUUGAUUUUCUUUUUUUAUUUUUUUUAUUGCAUUUGGUUGUUUGAUUUUUUUUCGAACAAAUGGCACAGGGCGUCCGUAUGCUCAACAAACAUUACCUGUUUCCUGCUCCCCCAAAUGCAAAUGCAGACAACUUUGUCCUCUGGGCGUUUCAGAAGCACCUAAACUCCACCACGAUGCCAACCCAACGGUACUGAUAAACGCUUUCGAUGCAUUAGAACCUGAGGCCCUAAGGGCUGUCACUAAGUUUAAGUCGACUGGAGUUGGACCCUUGUUUCCGACCGCUUUCUUGGGUGGGAAAGAUCCAUCUGAUACUUCAUUUGGAGGCGAUCUUUUCCGUCGUUCAAAGGAUUAUAUUGAAUGGCUGAACUCAAAUCCUGAAUCUUCUGUCAUUUAUGUAUCAUUUGGAAGCCUCGCGGUUUAUCGAAGCAACAGUCUGAGGAGAUUGCUCGUGGAUUGCUGGACGGUGGCCGACGUUUCUUGUGGGUCAUAAGAGCCAAGGAAAAGGGAGAAGAGGAGAAAGAAGACAAACCAAGUUUCCUCGAAAAGUUGGAACGACAAGGGAUGAUGGUACCAUGGUGUUCUUAGUGUAAAACUCUGUAGAAAUCUGUAAAAUGGUAUUGGCUUCAAUGCCAAAAACCGGGUGGCUAUUCUCAUUUAUAUACAAUUACAGAAGAAGUUUUGAAAUACACAAUAACAAAAAUUUAAAAAUACAUAACAGAAAUUUAAAUAUAGUCAAGGGUUAUCUCUUAAAGUAGAUAAGUGUUUAUUUGUUUCAUUCAAUCGCAACUGAUCUGGUGGAUAAGAUAAGUGAGAAGCCAAGGAAAUCUUGGUGGUUUGAAUGUUGUGGUUAUCAUCCCCCCUCAAGCUAAUGGGGAGAGAAACCACCAUUAGCUUGUCACGAAGCAGACAAAACCGAGCUAAACUUAGUCACUUUGUAAAGAUAUCAGCAGGCUGAUCAUAAGAACCAAUGAACUGAAGGGAAAUAUCUCGAUUAGCAACUUUCUCGCAGAUGAAGUGAAAAUCAACUUCAAUAUGUUUGGUGCGGGCAUGAAACACAGGAUUAGAAGCAAGAGCAAGAGCGCCACUAUUAUCACACCAAAUAGUAGGAGUUGUGGGCAAAGAAAUAUGAAGUUCUUUGAGGAGCAUACGAAUCCAAUACAACUCAGCAGUAGUAAUAGCUAAUGCCCUAUAUUCGGCUUCAGUGCUAGAACGAGCUACCACAGAUUGUUUCUUGGCAGUCCAUGAGAUUAAGCAAGAGCCAAAGAAAACGCCAUACCCAGUAGUUGAUCUUCGAUCAUCGGGAUUACCAGCCCAAUCUGAAUCACAAAAGGCUUGAAGAGUUUGCUCACCCUUAGUGUACCAUAAUCCCAGAUCAAUGGUGCCUUUUAGGUAACGUAAGACACGUUUUGCUGCUGUCCAAUGAACAGAAUUAGGACAGUGCAUAUGUUGACAUAGUUGGUUGACAGAAAAUGCUAUAUCAGGUCUAGUCAAGGUGCAAUAUUGAAGAGCUCCCACAGUUUGUCGAUAUUCUGUAAUUUGAGAAGCUGUGAGUGGCUCACCAACAUGAGUGGAUAAUUUAAGGCCUGUGGUACAAGGAGAGGAAGCAGGUUUGGCCCCAGCCAUCUUGGUACGAUGAAGAAGAUCCCCAAUGUACUUGGAUUGUCGAAGAUGUAGGCCAGAAGAGUCACGACUUGCUUGGAUGCCGAGAAAAUAGCCUAAAGGACCAAGGUCUUUCAUCUUGAACUCGGUCUGUAGCUUUUGGAUUGGAGACUGAAUGAGAGAAGGAUUUGUACCUGUAACAAGGAUAUCAUCUACGUAGAUGAGGAUAAAUAGAUGAAUAUGGCCCUUAUGAUAGACAAAUAAGGAGGCAUCCACUGGUGAGGAUAGGAAACCGAAUUCAAGUAGAGUUUGAGAUAGACGCAUAAACCAAGCACGAGGUGCUUGUUUGAGGCCAUAAAGUGACUUGUUCAGUUUGCAAACAUAAUCUGGAAAAUUUGAAUUAACAAACCCCUUAGGUUGCUCCAUAUAUACAUCCUUUAGCAAGAUCCCAUGAAGAAAAGCGUUAGAUACAUCAAGCUGUCUGAUUUCCCAAUCAAAUUGAACAGAAAUUGUAAGAAGCACCCGUACAGUAGAAGGCUUAAUUACUGGACUAAAAGUCUCAGUAAAGUCAAUACCUUCUUCUUGAGCAAAUCCUAAGGCCACUAAUCUUGCUUUGAAUCUGUCAACCUCACCUGUGGAUGUUUGUUUAACUUUAUACACCCACUUAUUUCCCACCACAUUAUGAUCAACAGGUCUAGGACAUAGCUUCCAUGUCUCAUUAGCCAAUAAAGCAUCAUAUUCCUUUCUCAUAGCAACACACCAGUCAGGUAAUAAAGCAGCUUGUCGGUAAGAUGUUGGUGCAAGGGGAGUCACAGUAUUGGAUAAUGCUUGGAGAGGAUAUUGAGUGGAAUAAAGUUUAAAAUCUGAAAAUGUGCGAGGUUUGAGGUUGCCUGUUUGGGAGCUAGUUGUCAUGGGGUGAUGAGAGUGAUUGGAAGAAGAGGAAACUUCAAGUAUAGAAAGGAAAGGAGCUGGACCAGGUAUGGGAGAAGGUAGAGUGGAGAUAUGAGGAGAAGUGGGGAUAUGUAAAGAUUCUAGAGGAGAAUCAGGUGAAUCUGAAAUAAUUGGAGAGGAAUGCUGUAAAUUAGAAGUAGAUAAAGAAAAUGAAGGAGAAGGUAAAGGCGUACCUUGAGAGGAGACCACUGGAAGAAGUUCAGAAGACUGCAAUCCAUCCUUAGCAGGAAAUGUAUUCUCAUUAAACACAACAUGUCGUGAGAUUAUAACUUUUUGAGUGACAGGAUCCAAGCAUCUAUAUCCAUUUUGAUGGGAACUAUAACCUAGAAAUAUGCAACGUUUGGAUCUAAACAUUAAUUUGUGAGUUGCAUAUGGUCGCAACAAUGGAAAACAGGCACAACCAAAGGUGCGCAAGGAGGUAUAAUCAGGAUGUUUGCCAAAUAAUUUAAGAUAUGAUGUUUGGUUAUCAAGAGUAGAUGUUGGCAGUCUAUUGAUGAGAAAAAUGGAUGUUAAAAAGGCAUCAACCCAGAAUUUAGUGGGAAAAAGUGACUGAGCUAACAGAGACAGUCCCAUUUCCACCACAUGACGGUGUUUACGCUCAGCAACCCCAUUUUGUUGGGGUGUAUGAGGACAAGUGUGGCGAUGUUGGAUUCCAUUAGAGGAAAGAAACAAUUGAAAUUGGUUGGACAUGUAUUCUCCACCUCCAUCCGAUUGUAAUUGCUUAAUUUUGCAAGGAAAUUGGUUUUCAACUAGUGUUUUGAGUUUAACAAAGCAAGCAUAUACAUCAGAUUUAUUUUGGAGAGGAUAAAGCCAUGAGAAUCGUGAAAAGUCAUCAAUGAAUAUAACAUAAUACUUGCAUCCACUGAGAGAUUUGGUAGAACAAGACCAUACAUCAGUAUGAAUUAAUUGCAAAGGAAAGGAAGAAACACGAGUAGAAGGUUUGAAAGAAAGUUGCUUACCUUUUCCAAGUUGGCAAGAUUCACAAAAAUGCAUUUUUUUCACUGAUCCUUCAACAGGUAAGGAAUGUUUAUUUAAUAACUGAGACACAAUGGGAAGAGAUGCAUGUCCUAAUCUAGAAUGCCAAACUGAAACUGAUGCUUUAAUUCCUACAACGGCUGACAAAGCAUGUGAUUUAUUGAUAGACAUUGACCGCAACUGGAUUGGAUAGAGACCCCCUUCACUCCUGCCUUCCAGUAGUGUCACCCCCGUUUGUAUGUCCUUGACAAAAUAAUGAGUACCAGUUAGAAUAAAGAGGCAAUUGUUAUCAAGACAGAAUUGAUUUAUGGAAAGCAAAUUGGCAGAAGCUUGAGGACAAUGGAGGACACGUUUGAGGUUUAAUUUAGCUUCAGGAGUAUGAAAAAUAGUAGUAUCAGUAUGUGCAAUACUUAAACCUUGGCCAUUACCAACAACUACAUUUUCUUGUCCUGUGUAUGGUUGUUGCAGAGUAAGAUGCUCCAGAUUGGCAGUAAUGUGUUGAUUAGCUCCACUGUUAGCAAACCAUGUCUCUUCCUCUUGCUCAGCAUUGCUAUGUGCCACCAUAGCAGCUAACUGGGUUGGUGGAUGACGACCCUGAUAUGCAUAAUCCAUUCUAUGAAAGCAAUCUAAUGCCUUAUGACUUAGUUUUCCACAGAUUUGACAAGGUGACUUAGGAGUGGAAAAUGAGUGCUGCUUCUGAUUUGGCUGAGGUGAGGAAGGUAAACCAGAGGGUUGUGGUGAAUAUCGAGGACGAGGAUUUUGUGAAAAUAAAGGACGUGAAUAUGGUUUACUUGGGUUUUUGGGUUUGCGAUUGUACUGCUGUUGGUUGGAUUUGGGAGUGAAGAAAGCAAAAUUAUUUGUCUCAGGUGGUAUAGCAAUAUUCUGGUUUUCCAAUAACAGUUCAUAGGACAAGAGCUCGGCUUGAAAAUCUUCAAAAGAAACAUUCUUGUCUCUAGUGGCAAAGGACAGAGAGGUUAUAAAGGGAUUAAAGGAUGGGUUGAGACCACUCACAAUAUAAGACAUUAAGUCAUCAUCCUCAAGUGGCUUACCAACUGCAGAUAAUUCAUCAGACACCAACUUCGUUUUUUCAAGAAAAUCAGUGCACUUCAUUGACCCUUGAUGAAGAGUCUGCAACUUUCGCUUUAGGUGGUGUACACGGUUUCUGGAUUGAGAGGCAAACUUGUUUGCUAGAGAACUCCACACCUCUCGAGCAGAUGUGAUGCCAUAGACAGAAGCUAGCACCUUGUCAGACAAAGUGGCAUUGAUCCAACUUAACACACACUGAUCUUUCUUAUUCUAGAGAAUAUAUGCUGGAUUAAGAGAACCAUCAAGAGAUUUUGAUGGACACGGCUCAGAACCAUCCACGAAGCCCAUCAAGUCAUGACUUUUCAGUACUGGCACAAUCUGAGAUGACCAUAUAAGAUAGUUUGUGUCACUCAGCUUGAUCGACACCAGAUGACCAAUGUUUGGAGGAGCAAAGAUAACAUUGGAGGAAGCGGAAGAAGAGAAGGCCAUAGUUGAGAAGUAAAGGAUCGAUUGAAAUUAGGCGUAUGCCAAUCGCUCUGAUACCAUGUAAAACUCUGUAGAAAUCUGUAAAAUGGUAUUGGCUUCAAUGCCAAAAACCGGGUGGCUAUUCUCAUUUAUAUACAAUUACAGAAGAAGUUUUGAAAUACACAAUAAAAAAAAUUUAAAAAUACAUAACAUAAAUUUAAAUAUAGUCAAGGGUUAUCUCUUAAAGUAGAUAAGUGUUUAUUUGUUUCAUUCAAUCGCAACUGAUCUGGUGGAUAAGAUAAGUGAGAAGCUAAGGAAAUCUCGGUGGUUUGAAUGUUGUGGUUAUCACUUAGGUUGAGGUUCUCUCAAAUCCAUCACUGGGUUGUUUUGUGACACAUUGUUUGGUGGAAUUCAACCUUGGAGAGCUUGGCUUCUGGGGUUCCAGUUGUGGCAUUUCCUUAGUGUACCGACCAAUCAACAAACGCAAAGCUAGCCGAAGACAUGUGGAAAACGGGUGUACGCGUGACCGUGAAGAGGAAUAGUUGAAAGCAAUGAGAUUAAGAGGAGGUGAAAGAAAUGAGAAGGAAUGCAAAGAAAUGAAAGGAUUUAGCCAAGAGAGGAUGUGAUGGGAGGUGGAUCAUCUGACAAGAACCUUAAGAAUUUUAUGGAUGAGGUCAUACAAGGUUACUAGCU
rnacentral:lncRNA from 1 species